rnacentral:rRNA from 1 species
UACGUAGGGACCGAGCGUUGUCCGGAAUCAUUGGGCGUAAAGAGCGUGUAGGCGGCCUUUUAAGUCCUGCGUGAAAUCCUGCGGCUCAACCGCAGACGGUCGUGGGAAACUGGAAGGCUAGAGUGCGGGAGAGGAGAGUGGAAUUCCCGGUGUAGCGGUGAAAUGCGCAGAUAUCGGGAAGAACACCCGUGGCGAAGGCGGCUCUCUGGAACGCAACUGACGCUGAGA